rfam:Salmo salar isolate Sally breed double haploid chromosome ssa15, whole genome shotgun sequence.
UGCAUUCAGUACUAUAAGUCGCUCUGGAUAAGAGUGUCUGCUAAAUGACUAAAA